GCGCACGCUGGCGGCGUGCCUCAUCCAUGCAAGUUGAGCGCUGAAGGUUGGUACUUGUACCAACUGGAUGAGCAGCGAACGGGUGAGUAACGCGUGGGGAAUCUGCCUUUGAGCGGGGGACAACAUUUGGAAACGAAUGCUAAUACCGCAUAAAAACUUUAAACACAAGUUUUAAGUUUGAAAGAUGCAAUUGCAUCACUCAAAGAUGAUCCCGCGUUGUAUUAGCUAGUUGGUGAGGUAAAGGCUCACCAAGGCGAUGAUACAUAGCCGACCUGAGAGGGUGAUCGGCCACAUUGGGACUGAGACACGGCCCAAACUCCUACGGGAGGCAGCAGUAGGGAAUCUUCGGCAAUGGACGAAAGUCUGACCGAGCAACGCCGCGUGAGUGAAGAAGGGUUUCGGAUCGUAAAACUCUGUUGGUAGAGAAGAACGUUGGUGAGAGUGGAAAGCUCAUCAAGUGACGGUAACUACCCAGAAAGGGACGGCUAACUACGUG
rnacentral:rRNA from 1 species